rnacentral:misc_RNA from 1 species
GAUGAAGAACGCAGCGAAAUGCGAUAAGUAGUGUGAAUUGCAGAAUUCAGUGAAUCAUCGAAUCUUUGAACGCACAUUGCGCCCCUUGGUAUUCCAUGGGGCAUGCCUGUUCGAGCGUCAUUUGUACCUUCAAGCUUUGCUUGGUGUUGGGUGUUUGUCUCGCCUCUGCGUGUAGACUCGCCUCAAAACAAUUGGCAGCCGGCGUAUUGAUUUCGGAGCGCAGUACAUCUCGCGCUUUGCACUCAUAACGACGACGUCCAAAAGUACAUUUUUACACUCUUGACCUCGGAUCAGGUAGGGAUACCCGCUGAACUUAAGCAUAUCAUAAGCGGAGGA